UAAUUUAAUAAAGCAUCUAAACAAAGAUUUUAUUGGAGAUUUUUAUUUUCACUGUAAAUGCAUAUCGGUUCCAAAUAUCGGUUAAGGGUUUCAUUUGCUACUGAUAAUCGGUAUCAGUAUCGGCCUUGAAAAAACAGUAUAGGUCGAUCC